rnacentral:rRNA from 1 species
GACGAACGCUGGCGGCAUGCCUAACACAUGCAAGUCGAACGAGACCUUCGGGUCUAGUGGCGCACGGGUGCGUAACGCGUGGGAACCUGCCCUUAGGUUCGGAAUAACUCCCCGAAAGGGGUGCUAAUACCGGAUAAUGUCUUCGGACCAAAGAUUUAUCGCCUUUGGAUGGGCCCGCGUUGGUUUAGCUAGUUGGUAGGGUAAAAGCCUACCAAGGCGACGAUCCAUAGCUGGUCUGAGAGGAUGAUCAGCCACACUGGGACUGAGACACGGCCCAGACUCCUACGGGAGGGAGGAGUGGGGAAUAUUGGAAAAUGGGGGAAAACCUGGUCCAGCCAUGCCGGGGGAGUGAUGAAGGCCUUAGGGUUGUAAAGCUCUUUUACCCGGGAUGAUAAUGACAGUACCGGGAGAAUAAGCUCCGGCUAACUCCGUG